AAAAGGAGCUACAGAGACAGAGACGGUGCAGUUCCUCACUAGAGCUGGAGGAGCAUGGAUGGUGUGUCUGGCUGAGGAAACUGCAGCACAAUGGACAGCCCAGUGCUAGUAGGGACUGGGCGAGCAAGGAAGAGCUCCUGGAUGGCUACUGGGCCUGAGCUUAGAAGAGCCCUGAGCUAAAGUGGCAGCAGAAAUAAAAACUAUCAUCAGACUCAUACAGCAACAGAGAAGAGCUUGGAUUUUGGACCUAACAUGACAAAUAUAUGGACAGGCACAGCACUGGAGAUGUCAGGAUCCUUCAAGAUAAGUGUCCCACAGUGCAGCGAUGGACAGUGAGAUGAAGAUAAGUCUUCCCAAGACACGAUGGAAUGCAACGUGGCAAACCACUGGCCAGGUGGUCUGGGUGAAGGGCCUUCACAGGAGGUACAAGCUUAAUAAUGCCUUGGAGGUCAGCUCAGGAGACUUCAUCUUCUUCUGUGAAAUGCUACACUUGGUUUGAUCUGUAUCAAAGAAAAUGAAAGUUGCUUUCACGUGCUCAGGAGGGAUAUGGAAAAAAAAGUCAUUGCUUGGGUGUUGUCACCAGGAAGAGAACUAUAUCACUGCAAUGGAAAUAUAUGAAAUCAACAUGCUCGUAGUUCUGUCACAAAACAACCAAACAGCAUGCUGUGAUUGCUGGUAUUGACCGUGAUUAGCAGGACUGAAUUAAAAAUAGCUGCCUUGUAAAAAAAUGUCUGGGCAAGCAGUCACUGAGAAAUGCAAGCAAACGCAAUCAACGGUGUUUGUUCACCAAAAGUAAUGACUGCCCACCUGGGCCAGAUGGAACCCAAAUUGUUGACCCAGAGGACUCAUCUAUUUUCCUUUGCUUUUUAUGGGAGGAAAAGGCUGAUUGCCUAGCAGUGGAAGCUUAUUAUUUUGUAAUAUCCUAUUUUAAAGGGGCACAUUUCUAUUACAUGAGUUGGGAUUGGUUUUGAUGAGGAAGUCCUCUUUUGUUUUUUUUACUUAUUUCUGUGUACUUUAAUACUUGUACAAGUUCUAGA